rfam:Bacillus sp. CAG:988 genomic scaffold, scf42
GAUUAUUAAAGCGUGGUGCCAUAGACAGCAGGUAGCAAAGUAAAUCCUGCCGAGGAACUUGUUUGUAAAUAAGAUCUUCCUGUCUAUGACUAGGAAGAUUUUUUAUGGUCAUGC